UUCCACAAGUCUGUCAGGUAGAACCUGUCGCAGGUAGUCAGAAAUAGUUUUGCGUCUAGCGAUGGGCAGUCAGUUCAGAAAUAAUGAUCUUACAUCUCCGCAGUGACCUGAAGAUACAGACAAUUAGAGUAGUUUAGAAGAAAUGCUUCAGAAGUAGAUACUGGAUUCCGUGAUCCAUUGCAACUCAGUUUAACUCCCUGAGAAGACUACAAUUUUCCGAACAUCUUGAAUUGCCAAUCUCGCAAGGAACAAAGGUAUUUUGUUUACAGUGGAUCUACAUCUGACACGUUUGACAGCGUCAUCAUCAUUAUCAUCAUCACUAAACACAUACCUAGACCUGGUGAGGAAGACUCAGCUUCGGUGUAGUCUUGUGGGAGAUCUCCACACGUCAACUUCCCUACGCACACCUGACCUGCUCGGAGUACAUCCAUCAAGAGAUCCUGGAUGGCAACACGCCAGUCUUCCCUCCUACCACUCCCUACCCGUACCGUCAUCUGGCUGAGAAAUGCAUGAGCGACGUAGCACGUGACCGGCCAUCCUUCCAGAAGAUUGUUCAAGAGAUCGAAGCUUUGGAAGUCUUGGAUGGCCAGAGUAUAAUGUAGUGUCAAGUUCUCAUCAUUUUAUGUUCUCUUUUGUUGCUAUUCGAGAUGGCCCACACCCCCAGCCUGUUUCACUGUUAUAACGUAUUGACGCUGGUAAACGCGUCCGUGCAGGUAUUGUCUUGUACAAUAUUAAUAUUAAAUUUUGAAUAGAGCGCUUCCCACCAGAAUAGGUGAAUUCAUGUUUGUUUCCAAAUUCUUUUAAAAUGUUCUGCUACUCCAUCUUUCUACAGUUUCCUAGAUGUAUUGAGGGGGGGGGGGGUAUGUUGUUUCUUCCUUGUUUUGUUUAUUGUGUGAUACGUGUUGCAGUACCGUCAUGACCCUCCGAAUAGUAAUCUCUUGAGUAUUAUAGCACCCAUUGGUCAACUGCGGUUCUAACCUAGAUUUGCUGCCAUUUGUUUCCGAAUCAUCCCAUAGUUGCUGCAAAAUUGAUUCUAGCUCUA